AUGUAGGUAUAUUAUAAAUUCACACUGUAUUAAUAUGAGACAAACUAUAAAACAAUAUAUAAACUGUAUAGUUGCAGCAAUGGUACGAUAAAUUAUGCAUAUUUUUAAAGUUAAUACUAUUAUGAAUGCUAUUUGUUUAGACUCCCCUCUAGGAUGCAAGUCACUGACUAAAUGUUCAUGCAAAUACAGUUCAACUUGAAUUUUUUUAAUACCUAUUUUUACCACCAAAAUAAACUUCAUCCCUAAAUUCACUCUUUAUGGAUAUGUACAUCUAAAGAGAGACUCACUGCUGAUAAUCUGGUUAUGAUUUAAAGUCAUAUAGCUAAGUGCUGCAUGAAGAAUUAGUCCAGAUCAUAUUCUGUUGUUUAUCACAUAAUCAUAUAACAGAGUCAGUACAUAACCACAAGAGGGUGCUAUGCAGUAUAGGAUAUGAAUAGUACUCAAAUAACAUAAUGGUCUAUGAAACAGAUCUGAUUUGAUCAGCUUUCUCAAAGAGCUCUCUGGAAAAGGUGGGGUUUAAAGCACUGAUACCUGAUGUGAUCUUCUUUAACUUCAUGUCUGUUAGAGAGAGAAUAAGAAACACACACAAUGAGUCUCUGUUCUGUCAUUCUGCUUUCUGCCUUUGCAUAUGCAACAUAUGGAAAUCAAAUUAAACCAAACAAAACAGAGGAGUUUGCUGAGGAGGGUUCAAGUGUUAAAUUAUCCUGCAGUUAUUCAUCUGCACUCCGUCUUCACUGGUAUCGUCAAUAUCCCGGAUCAGCUCCUGAGUUCAUUGUGCUCAUCUUAGACAGUGCAAAAAAAGCUCAGGAGUCUUAUGUAGAUUCCAGAUUCACUGCCAAAGUCACUAAAGUCAGUAAUGAAAACCAUGUGGAUCUGGAGAUCUCCUCUGCAUCUAUAACAGACUUUGCUCUGUACUACUGUGCUCUGGAGCCCACAGUGACAGGAAACACAAGAACACUGUACAAAAACCUGAUACACAGCAUUGCAUCUUCCUCACACAUAUCCAACCCCCAUAUCUGCUGUUAACACUAGUGAACACCCCUCUAUUCAGCAAAAAAAACAGUAUUAUAUACAUGACUUGUCAUUCACAAUAUAAAAGGAUAUAACAGAAAGGGUGAUACACAAAGAUUCAUUUAAAAGAUACUUCAAGUAUUCAUAACAUUGUAUAAAGCAACUAUGUUUAAAGAGAUUAAAUCAUAUUUAGAUGCAUUUGCGUUUUGCCUGGUUGUGAAGCAGGUGAGGUUUAUAUCUUAGGGGUUGUUUGUUGAACAGAGACUGUGUCGUAAGCACACACACAAUGAUGACACUCCUUUUAGUUAUUCUGAACAAAUGUCCUUGGGUAUAUCCAGUGAGUAAAUAGCUUUAUAACAUAAAGAGGGAUAAAUAUAGUGGGGAUAAAGCAUUUGUUCAAAAAAAUAUUUAUAACAAUCCUUGACCUUGAUAAAGAUUUUUUCAACACAGUAACUAAUACAUUAGCAUAUUAGUGGGGAGCCGACCUGAAUCAAG
ensembl:lncRNA